rnacentral:misc_RNA from 1 species
UUUCCGUAGGUGAACCUGCGGAAGGAUCAUUACACGAUAGGCGGGGGGUUCGCCCCCUGCCCCCGAUUCGUCGGGACACCCUGUCUCUUGAGUACCGAACGUUUCCUCGGCGGGCCCGCCCGCCAACGGGGACCUCGAAAACCACUUGUAAUAAGCAGUAACAGUCGUAAAUACAAUCGUAUCAAAACUUUCAACAAUGGAUCUCUUGGCUCUGGCAUCGAUGAAGAACGCAGC